GAUGAACGCUGGCGGCGUGCCUAAUACAUGCAAGUCGAGCGAACAGACGAGGAGCUUGCUCCUCUGACGUUAGCGGCGGACGGGUGAGUAACACGUGGAUAACCUACCUAUAAGACUGGGAUAACUUCGGGAAACCGGAGCUAAUACCGGAUAAUAUAUUGAACCGCGUGGUUCAAUAGUGAAAGACGGUUUUGCUGUCACUUAUAGAUGGAUCCGCGCCGCAUUAGCUAGUUGGUAAGGUAACGGCUUACCAAGGCAACGAUGCGUAGCCGACCUGAGAGGGUGAUCGGCCACACUGGAACUGAGACACGGUCCAGACCCCUACGGGAGGCAGCAGUAGGGAAUCUUCCGCAAUGGGCGAAAGCCUGACGGAGCAACGCCGCGUGAGUGAUGAAGGUCUUCGGAUCGUAAAACUCUGUUAUUAGGGAAGAACAAAUGUGUAAGUAACUAUGCACGUCUUGACGGUACCUAAUCAGAAAGCCACGGCUAACUACGUG
rnacentral:rRNA from 1 species